rnacentral:rRNA from 1 species
UGCGUAGGUGGUUAGUUAAGUUGUAUGUGAAAACCCUGGGCUUAACCUAGGAAUUGCAUAUAAAACUGAUUGGCUAGAGUGCGGUAGAGGGAAGUGGAAUUUCCGGUGUAGCGGUGAAAUGCGUAGAUAUCGGAAGGAACAUCAGUGGCGAAGGCGACUUCCUGGACCGUUACUGACACUGAGGCACGAAAGCGUGGGGAGCGAACAGGAUUAGAUACCCUGGUAGUCCACGCCGUAAACGAUGAGAACUAGAUGUUGGUUGGCAUGACCAAUCAGUAUCGCAGCAAACGCGUUAAGUUCUCCGCCUGGGGAGUACGGCCGCAAGGUUAAA